GACGAACCGUGCGAACGUUAUUCGGAAUCACUGGGCUUAAAGCGCGCGUAGGCGGCCCGGCGCAUCCGACGCUGAAAUCCCCCGGCUCAACCGGGGAAGCGGCGCGGAGAUGGCCGGGCUGGAGCGAGGUAGGGGGAGCCGGAACGUCCGGUGGAGCGGUGAAAUGCGUUGAGAUCGGACGGAACGCCCGUGGCGAAAGCGGGCUCCUGGACCUCCGCUGACGCUGAGGCGCGAAAGCCAGGGGAGCGAACGGG
rnacentral:rRNA from 2 species